ACUUGGUUAUAACCUGGAAACUAGAAUCUAAUCCAAGUACUCCCUUCCUCCAGCCUGAACAAACCUAUACUAUACAAAACUACAUACCAUCAUGGUUCAGAUGAAGACCCUGUACACCUUCCUUCAAGUUUCUGGAAUCAUUGAGGAUUGGGCAUAAAUUGCCACCCUUAAGUGUGUUCUCCAACCUGCACGAGUGAAUUCCUGCGAAUAAGAGGUUAAGCAGUCAUCUCUCCUCUGGAGUCUGAACAACCAUCAGGGUAGCAAUACCUCGACACCAAGACAUCCAGCAUCACUGAGCCUGAGAGCACUGCUGCUUGGGGAAAAAAAAAAUAUCAAAUAUUUUCAAAUUGAGGUUGAUUGACUCCGUGGAUGCAGAAGCUGCUGAUGCUGACUGCCAGCUAUCAGAGACAAGCACAUUUGCU
rnacentral:lncRNA from 1 species